CGGGCCCCGCACCCCCGGCCUGGGAGGCAGCCCUGCCCUCUGGGAAGAGCGGGUCCAGUCAGGGCUCCGAGGGCGGUGGGCACACGGGGGUCAGGGCGUGGGGGGAGGCCCCUGCCCCGACACCCCCCACCCCGCCUGGUGCAGGAGGAGGCCCUGACCGUGGGGGCCUGGGGCCUUCUCAGGCUUCUUCGUCCCGGGCUUCCAGAAGCUCCUCAGGUUCCAGGCUCAUCACGAGCGCGUCCUCCAAAGAGCUCUCCCCGACCUGAGGAAGCACAUGGCGAGUGGGAGCUCCUGAGGCUCCAUCCCCCGGCCCGGGGACGAGGAGCAGAUGUCCACCGGCAUCUAUACCCCAAAGUGGUUCCUGCAGUGCUUCCUUGGCCGGACCCCCUUCUCGCUCACCCUGAAGCUGUGGGAUG